UUAAUUUCCUGAAAUUGUUCAUGCUUUGUG
rnacentral:piRNA from 1 species